AGAAGGGUAGCACAUGGGGGCCAAGCGCUCUCAUGGGUGCAAAGGUGUCUAUUGUCUGUUUACGGUCUGCUUUUUAGAGUAUACUGGUUUUUACCUCAUAACAGGCCGGGCUUGUUUCUUCCUUGCCUUUCCUUGCAACCCUCACAUGAACUUUGACCUGAGAAUGGAGAACACUGAGAAUGAGCUUUGCAUAUAGUUCAGGUUAGCAGAAAGACACAAACCCAAGACCAGCUCACCUGGUGUCCGCCCUUGCUGAUAGGGAGGGACACACAAGAUACAGAGAAACCACAGAACACUUCCCCAUGGAAGUCGGUAUGAGUGUCUGUAGUCAUGACCACUGUAUUCAUUUUGCAUCUGUGGGCUGGUGAUAGGAAGCUGUUUGUGCUAAAAGAAUACUUUCCACAUAAGUUAACAGAAGUCAUUUUACAGGUAGCUGCAGCUUUUUCAUCAUUUUUACCUUUAAAAAUGUUGGGCUAUCCUGAAAAUGGAAGAGAGCAAAAGAAAAAGGAAAAGAAAAUGGUGGGCUAAAUCUUUAAAUUAUGGUUUAUGAGCUUAUUUAGCCUUCUUCUAGGUAAUUAGUUGGUUACUAUAAAAAAGUAAGUCCCUGCUUUGAGAGUACCUGACAGCAGUGGUAGAAUAAAUAACCUAACAUAGUGCCUUGAAAGAACAGAACACUAUCUGAACCUGGCUGCACAGCUACCUUUGUGUGAAGCAGUGCAGCCUGGCUCACUGUGUGAAGAGUAACCCAGAAGAACCAUCGUGUUCUCGUUACUGUUUACCUCUUUACUUAGCAUGAAUCAUCUUUUAUUCUUACUGCCAAAAAGUAUCUGCCAGAGUCCCGUCCACUUCCUGGCCAUAUGAUGUGUCAUCAUCUUUCUGAGAGAAAGGUGAUGCAGAGUCAUUGGAGACUUCUCUGAAACAUUAAAAUUAGUCUUCUUAUAAUUCCCACAGUUGAGCAGACACAGGUAGGAGUUAGGACUUACCAAUUCAUAUUGAAAACAGCAGAAUGGAAAGAAAUGACUUAAGGUUACGUGAUAUAACCUGAAAUAAACUAAGAAAGGGAAAUGGAGUUUAAAUAUUUCCUGUGUGACUGGUUUGCUUUGUCUUCAGUGAUAGGUAGAAUUAAGCAUUCAAUACUAUUUUAUCCUUGAGUCUGUCUAACUGACAUUUAAAAAUGUCAUCCGUGGAGCUGCCGAGUGACUUGUAACAUUAUCAAAACAGGUGUCACGUCAUUUAAUAUUUUUAGUCUGUUUUUUACUCACUUCUGUUACUUCUAUUUUGUGUCAUCAAAUCCGCUAUCAUUAUAAUAUUGUCAUGAAACUGAAUUUUAGAAAUAUGAUUAUUAGGUAGAGUUGAGGGAAGUAUAGAGUACACAUUAUUCAUAUUCAUGUUAAAGUGCUGAGAUUGUUUUGUGUGUGUAGUUAGAGCAGUAAUUCAGCAGUGAAUGAUGUCCUUUGCUUAGGCUCCCCUUGUUUAGAAUUACCACGGGGAGGGCAGUGGGCCCCUGGCUCUCACAGGCUGGCCAUUGGGUUGUGCUGAUCAGAGCUCAGGGCUCCAGGUGGCUCCAGCACUACAUGGAUAGACUGUUUUCAAGAAGGCUUAGGACAACACUGGGCUAAAGAAAA